UAAUAUAGGAUAUGAUAGGAGUAAGAGUAGGAUAUGGUAGGAUAGGAGUAGGAUAAGAGUAGGAGUAUGAUAUGAGUAGCAGUAAGAGUAUGAUAGGAUAGGAGUAGGAUAAGAUAUGAGUAGAAUACGAUAGGAGUAGGAUAUGAGUAGGAUAGGAGAGUAGGAGUAGGAAUAAGAGUAGGAUAUGAUAUGAUAAGAGUAGGAGUAAGAUAGGAGUAGCAGUAGGAGUAUGAUAUGAUAGGAGUAGGAUAGUAGUAGGAUAGGAUAUGAGUAGAAUACGAUAGGAGUAGGAUAUGAGUCGGAUAUGAUAGGAGUAGGAUAGGAGCAGGAGCAUGAGCAUGAGUAGGAGGAGGAGGAGCAGGAGCAGGAGGAGCAGGAGCAAGAUGAGGAGGAGCAGGAGCAGGAGGAAGAGGAGGAGCAAGAGCGGGAGGAGGAGGAGGAGGAGCUAGAGCAGGAGCAGGAUGAGGAGGAGGAGCAGGAUGAGGAGCAGGAACAGGAGGAGAAGCAGGAGCAGAAGGAGGAGCAGGAGGAGGAAGAGCUGGAAGGAGGAGGAGUAGGAGCGGGAGAAAGAGCAGGAGCGGGAGCAGGAGGAGGAGCAGGAGCGGGAGCGGGUGGAGGAGGAGGAGUAGGAGUAGGAGUAGGAGUAGGAGUAGGAGUAGGAGUAGGAGUAGGAGUAGGAGUAGGAGUAGGAGUAGGAUAGAAUGGGAUAGGAGUAGGAGUAGGAGUAAGAGUAGGAUAUGAUAGGAUAAGAGUAGGAUAAAAUAAGAUAGAAUAGGAUAAGAGUAGAAUAAAAUAGGAUAGGAGAGUAGGAUAGGAUACAAUAGGAUACGAUAGGAUAUGAUAGGAUACAAUAUGAUAGAGGUAGGAUAGGAUAAGAGUAGGAGUAGGAUAAGAUAUGAUAGGAUACUAUAGGGUGUAGGCCAUAGGGCGUAGGCAAUAAGGCGUAGGCCAGAGGGCGUGGUCAUAGGCGUAGUUGUAGGCGUAGGGCACAUAGUC